rnacentral:misc_RNA from 1 species
GAUGAAGAACGUAGCAAAAUGCGAUAAGUAAUGUGAAUUGCAGAAUUCAGUGAAUCAUCGAAUCUUUGAACGCACAUUGCGCCCGCCAGUAUUCUGGCGGGCAUGCCUGUUCGAGCGUCAUUUCAACCCUCAAGCACAGCUUGGUGUUGGGACUCGCGUUAAUUCGCGUUCCCCAAAUUGAUUGGCGGUCACGUCGAGCUUCCAUAGCGUAGUAGUAAAAUCCUCGUUACUGGUAAUCGUCGCGGCCACGCCGUUAAACCCCAACUUCUGAAUGUUGACCUCGGAUCAGGUAGGAAUACCCGCUGAACUUAAGCAUAUCAAUAAGCGGAGGA